GCUAAUUAUUAUAUACUUAUCGUCAUCUAAACCUAAAUUGAUUAUUAUAUGCUAGUUCCUAGUGCUACUUACAUACAAAGUACUUAAACCUACAGUACGGAUAUAGUACGGACUUGAGGAAGGUAGAAGAAGACUAAACGGAUUUUAUAACGCGCUUCACAUC